rnacentral:misc_RNA from 1 species
AAGUCGUAACAAGGUUUCCGUAGGUGAACCUGCGGAAGGAUCAUUAUUGAUUUUAGCUAACCAUGGCUAUUUUAGCCAUGGUUAUGCGAAAUUUUGUAUUUAAAACCCCACUCUUAUAAUAAAAAUUUAUUAUAUUUAUGAUAAAAAUAAGAUCACUUUCAACAACGGAUCUCUUGGUUCUC